UCGCACACUAGCUCCCAUACUUUCCUUCUUGCGUUGGGGACCUCAUGUGUUCAGCUGUGACAGUAAUGGCGUAGUUUCCCCUAACAUAGGACUAUUCCACCCAAGUGACAAAUGGAAACCUAGGCACUGGGGCAAGGUACGGAGCUACACCUUGGGAAAACAGGAUGUGAAGAGAAAUACAAAAAGGAUGACAUUUACAAAAAGGAUGACAUCACUUGCCACCUACAUUUAGCUAUCUCGGGCACCACAACAGUUGCCUUUAGGCCCAAAUAGUAGCAACACAUGAAAGGCCAGAACCCCACUGCAGCUGGGGCUCUUCACUCCCUGGGCUAGAGAGACUACUUCACACCCACCUCUAGAGUCCCCAGCCAAGGUCAAACAAAUGAACAGAUGCCUACAGCAAGCUUGUUGUCAGGGAAGGAGAUUGGACUUGUUAAUAUUAACUGAUCUCAUUCCUGGAUUCCUUUGGAGAGGACUCAUGGAAUUAGAAUGACCUGAGCCCCAGUGCCAAGCCAAGAGAGAAAUACGUGUCUAAAUUACCCAGAUAAUUACUUUGUUUUGAUUAUCUGGGCAUUGUUUAUAAAGACUUUUAAAAUUUGAGGGAGCUGACGGUCUAAUGUGUCUUCCAUCUCAAAAAACAAUUUGUAACUCCCCUGUUGAAAACUCUCCCUCUGCUCAGACCCUUUGGUCUAUCCAUUCCCAAGUGGGAGGUAAGGCCCUGUUCCUUUUGUAAGGCAACAUCCUCAGAUAGAAAACUAGCAGAAAUUCUAACUGGUGAAAUAGGCUUCAAUUGGUCAUAGCCCUGAGAGUAACUCAGACCUUUUGUUCUCAUUGAUUCCAGAUUUACUUACCACUUAUUAAUGGCAGGUGCCUUGUCAGGAACCAUUGUGAAGCCAGAAAAGGAAGUCCUGAGGCCUUCCAAUGCUACCACUUUUGGCAGACUGAAUCAGGUUAACUAUUUCAGAGUAAGACCACACAGUACUAAGCCUCUGGAGCCAAGUGGACUGGGUUAGAAUCCAGGUUUCACCAUGUAGGCAAGUUGUUCAAUUUCCCCAAGCCUCAUCUAUAAACUGGGAACAAUACGUA